GAUGAACGCUGGCGGCGUGCCUAAUACAUGCAAGUAGAACGCUGAAGGAAGGAGCUUGCUCUUUCCGGAUGAGUUGCGAACGGGUGAGUAACGCGUAGGUAACCUGCCUGGUAGCGGGGGAUAACUAUUGGAAACGAUAGCUAAUACCGCAUAACAGUAGAUGUUGCAUGAUAUCUACUUAAAAGGUGCAAUUGCACCACUACCAGGUGGACCUGCGUUGUAUUAGCUAGUUGGUGAGGUAACGGCUCACCAAGGCGACGAUACAUAGCCGACCUGAGAGGGUGAUCGGCCACACUGGGACUGAGACACGGCCCAGACUCCUACGGGAGGCAGCAGUAGGGAAUCUUCGGCAAUGGACGGAAGUCUGACCGAGCAACGCCGCGUGAGUGAAGAAGGUUUUCGGAUCGUAAAGCUCUGUUGUAAGAGAAGAACGAGUGUGAGAGUGGAAAGUUCACACUGUGACGGUAUCUGACCAGAAAGGGACGGCUAACUACGUG
rnacentral:rRNA from 1 species